rnacentral:rRNA from 1 species
UACGUAGGGUGCAAGCGUUGUCCGGAAUCACUGGGCGUAAAGGGCGCGUAGGCGGCUUGAUAAGGUUGCGGUGAAAGCCCGGGGCUCAACCCCGGGUCGGCCGUGGCAACUGUCGAGCUGGAGCACUGUAGAGGCAGGUGGAAUUCCGGGUGUAGCGGUGGAAUGCGUAGAUAUCGUAAGGAAGACCAGUGGCGAAGGCGGGUCUCUGGACAGUUCCUGACGCUGAGGCACGAAGGUCAGGGGAGCAAACGGG